rnacentral:rRNA from 1 species
AGAAUCAUCGAAUCUUUGAACGCACAUUGCGCCCGCCAGUAUUCUGGCGGGCAUGCCUGUUCGAGCGUCA